ACAGUGUCUGGUGGGUAGUUUGACUGGGGCGGUCUCCUCCUAAAGAGUAACGGAGGAGCACGAAGGUUGGCUAAUCCUGGUCGGACAUCAGGAGGUUAGUGCAAUGGCAUAAGCCAGCUUGACUGCGAGCGUGACGGCGCGAGCAGGUGCGAAAGCAGGUCAUAGUGAUCCGGUGGUUCUGAAUGGAAGGGCCAUCGCUCAACGGAUAAAAGGUACUCCGGGGAUAACAGGCUGAUACCGCCCAAGAGUUCAUAUCGACGGCGGUGUUUGGCACCUCGAUGUCGGCUCAUCACAUCCUGGGGCUGAAGUAGGUCCCAAGGGUAUGGCUGUUCGCCAUUUAAAGUGGUACGCGAGCUGGGUUUAGAACGUCGUGAGACAGUUCGGUCCCUAUCUGCCGUGGGCGCUGGAGAACUGAGGGGGGCUGCUCCUAGUACGAGAGGACCGGAGUGGACGCAUCACUGGUGUUCGGGUUGUCAUGCCAAUGGCACUGCCCGGUAGCUAAAUGCGG
rnacentral:rRNA from 1 species